rnacentral:ncRNA from 1 species
AUAAAAUUUUAUGAUUUAAAAAAUUUAAUUUAAAUUUAUUUUACAUAUAAAUUUUAGUAUGAAUUUAUAAUUAUUUUAAUAAUAAUAAUAAAUUAUUUAUAGUAAUUAAUAUUAAAAAUUUAAGAAAUUAAGAUUUAGUAAUAUUAAAAUUAUUAACAAAUUUUGUGCCAGCAGUUGCGGUUAGACAAAAAAUAAUUUAAAUUUUAUCAGUAUAUAAUUAUUAAUAAAUAAUUUAAUUUAAAUAUUAAAUUAUUAGGUAAAAUUUUAAUUUAAUUAAAAUUUAUUUAAAAUUUAUGAUUUAUUAAAUUUUAUAAAAAAACUAGGAUUAGAUACCCUAUUAUUAAAAAUUAAAUUUAUUAAUACUAAAAUAGUAAAUAAUGAUUUAUUGAAACUUAAAUAAUUUGGCGGUAUUUUAGUACAUUUAGAGGAAUCUGUCUAAUAAUUGAUAAUCCACGAAUAAAUUUACUUAAUUUAUAAUUUUAUAUAUCGUUGUUAAAAAAAUAUUUUUUUAUAAAAAUAAUAUUUUAAAAUUUUUAUAUAAAAUUAACUCAGAUCAAGAUGUAGAUUAUAAUUAAGAAUAUGAUGGAUUACAAUAAUAAAAAUUAAAAUGAAUAAUAUUUUGUAAAUAAUAUUUGAAGGUGGAUUUAAAUGUAAUUUUAUUUAAUUUAAUAAAAUGAUUAUAUAUUAAAAUAUGUACAUAUUGCCCGUCGCUUUCAUUUAUAAAUUGAAAUAAGUCGUAACAUAGUAGAGGUACUGGAAAGUGUUUCUAGAAAGUU